AGUGAACGCUGGCGGCAGGCCUAACACAUGCAAGUCGAACGGACCCUUCGGGGUUAGUGGCGGACGGGUGAGUAACACGUGGGAACGUGCCUUUAGGUUCGGAAUAGCUCCUGGAAACGGGUGGUAAUGCCGAAUGUGCCCUUCGGGGGAAAGAUUUAUCGCCUUUAGAGCGGCCCGCGUCUGAUUAGCUAGUUGGUGAGGUAACGGCUCACCAAGGCGACGAUCAGUAGCUGGUCUGAGAGGAUGACCAGCCACACUGGGACUGAGACACGGCCCAGACUCCUACGGGAGGCAGCAGUGGGGAAGCUGGCGCAAUGGGCGAAAGCCUGACGCAGCCAUGCCGCGUGAAUGAUGAAGGUCUUAGGAUUGUAAAAUUCUUUCACCGGGGACGAUAAUGACGGUACCCGGAGAAGAAGCCCCGGCUAACUUCGU
rnacentral:rRNA from 1 species